rnacentral:tRNA from 1 species
UCCUUGUUAGCUCAGUUGGUAGAGCGUUCGGCUUUUAAAACCGCAAUGUCAGGGGUUCGAGCCCCCUAUGAGGAG